rnacentral:lncRNA from 1 species
UUUUUCUGUUUUCCACAAGUGUUGCACGUUUCAGGUUGAUCAUCAUUUUUGCACACAGAUGGAGAUGGAAAUAUUUCAGGUUGAUCAUCAUUUUUGCACACAGAUGGAGAUGUAAAUAUUUCAGGUUGAUCAUCAUUUUUGCACACAGAUGGAGAUGGAAAUAUUUCAGGUUGAUCAUCAUUUUUGCACACAGAUGGAGAUGGAAAUAUUUCAGGUUGAUCAUCAUUUUUGCACCCAGAUGGAGAUGGAAUCACCACAUCAGGACUCAUAAUGCAGUCAUCUCCAUUUGCAACAAUGACACAUGCAUCCAGCUCAACUCCUGCAGGGUCCCUCUUUCUUUUCAAAG